rnacentral:rRNA from 1 species
UCCGCAAUGGACGAAAGUCUGACGGAGCAACGCCGCGUAAGUGAUGAAGGUUUUCGGAUCGUAAACUCUGUUGGUAGGGAAGAACAAGUACCGUUCGAAUAGGGCGGUACCUUGACGGUACCUAACCAGAAAGCCACGGCUAACUACGUGCCAGCAGCCGCGGUAAUACGUAGGUGGCAAGCGUUGUCCGGAAUUAUUGGGCGUAAAGCGCGCGCAGGCGGUUUCUUAAGUCUGAUGUGAAAGCCCCCGGCUCAAUCGGGGAGGGUCAUUGGAAACUGGGGAAUUUGAGUGCAGAAGAGGAGAGUGGAAUUCCACGUGUAGCGGUGAAAUGCGUAGAGAUGUGGAGGAACACCAGUGGCGAAGGCGACUCUCUGGUCUGUAACUGACGCUGAGGCGCGAAAGCGUGGGGAGCGAACAGGAUUAGAUACCCUGGUAGUCCACGCCGUAAACGAUGAGUGCUAAGUGUUAGAGGGUUUCCGCCCUUUAGUGCUGCAGCAAACGCAUUAAGCACUCCGCCUGGGGAGUACGGUCGCAAGACUGAAACUCAAAGGAAUUGACGGGGGCCCGCACAAGCGGUGGAGCAUGUGGUUUAAUUCGAAGCAACGCGAAGAACCUUACCAGGUCUUGACAUCCUCUGACAACCCUAGAGAUAGGGCUGC